GAGCGACGCUGGCGGCAGGCCUAAUACAUGCAAGUCGAGCGGGUCCUUCGGGAUUAGCGGCGGACGGGUGAGUAACGCGUGGGAACGUGCCCUUUGGUACGGAACAACUGAGGGAAACUUCAGCUAAUACCGUAUGUGCCCUUCGGGGAAAGAUUUAUCGCCAUUGGAGCGGCCCGCGUUGGAUUAGGUAGUUGGUGAGGUAAAAGGCUCACCAAGCCUACGAUCCAUAGCUGGUCUGAGAGGAUGACCAGCCACACUGGGACUGAGACACGGCCCAGACUCCUACGGGAGGCAGCAGUAGGGAAUCUUGCGCAAUGGGCGAAAGCCUGACGCAGCCAUGCCGCGUGAAUGAUGAAGGUCUUAGGAUUGUAAAAUUCUUUCACCGGGGACGAUAAUGACGGUACCCGGAGAAGAAGCCCCGGCUAACUUCGUG
rnacentral:rRNA from 1 species